UACGUAGGGGGCAAGCGUUGUCCGGAAUCAUUGGGCGUAAAGCGCGCGUAGGCGGCCCUGUAAGUCCGUUGUGAAAGUCGAAGGCUCAACCUUCGAAAGCCGAUGGAUACUGCAGGGCUAGAGUCCGGAAGAGGCGAGUGGAAUUCCUGGUGUAGCGGUGGAAUGCGCAGAUAUCAGGAGGAACACCGGUGGCGAAGGCGGAUCUCUGGGCCUUACCUGACGCUGAGGCGCGAAAGCUAGGGGAGCAAACGGG
rnacentral:rRNA from 1 species